rnacentral:lncRNA from 1 species
AGAAAUUGUAACGAUUACUAUGUGAAUGGUUUUGUGGAUGGUCUUGUGGAUGGUCUUCUGGAUGGUUGUGAAGGUGGUCUUGUAAAUGAUUGUAAAAAUAGUCAGGAAAGUUUUAAAAUUACAUGUACAAAUAAUAAUUUAUAUCAGUUGGAACUGGAAGAGAAAAGUAACAACGGGAAAAACAAACGAAACGAACAAAAUGAUGACGCGAUAAAAAGUACACACAGUGACUUGCUACUACCUUCGGCAUCGCAAUACGGUAAUACAAAUUUCAGUUAUAAUAAAGAGUUUUUAAGACUAAAUAUAUAUGCAGAAAAAUUUCCUUUAAUUCAUAUGCGUGACUUAUUUUUUUUAAACAAUAUAAUAGAUAUAUUUAUUAAUAACAAUAAUUUAUUUAAUAACAAUAUGUAUCAAAUAUACGGCAAGGUACUGAUUUUUUUAACUACUUACUCACCUUAUGAAUAUGUAUACAACCAUUAUUAUUCUCGUUUUUUAAAAAAAAAAAAAAGAAAUUCAUUCGGGAGGUAUGCUUGUCCAUUUUUUAACAUUUAUGAUGACUGUGAUUCUGUAACUGUUGAGCAGGGGGGAACUUUCGAACAGGAAGAAGUUGAUGUAAAAAUAUAUAAUAGCAUGACGAAAAGAGUGUUAAAUAAAAAUUUUGGCUCUGGAACAAAAUAUGAAGGUAAUAAUGGUAGCACUAAUGGUUGCAUUAGUAGUAUUGGUAUAGGUAGUGGUAGUGGUAUUGGUAGUGGUAGUAGUAUUGGUAGUGGUAGUGGUAGUAGUAGUAAAAGUAGUAGUGGUAGUGGUAGUGGUAGUAAAACAAAUAGAAGUAAAUGUAGCGAUAAAACAAGCAAGUUAAAUUCCCGUCUUUAUGACAAAACAAACGUAACAAUAAAACAAAAUAGUUAUAAUAAAAAAAAACACAAGAGUAUAGAUGAAACAAAUUUAAUAAAUAAUAAUGUGAGAGUAAAAUUUGUGGAUGUAGAAGAACAAGAUACUCUUAAUGCUCAGCAGGAAAAGAUUUCAAUGAAAAAUGAGAAAAUCGAUGUAGUAAGAAAAAUAAAUAAUAAUGCAUUAGUAACUAGUGAUGUGAAUCUAACAGUUGGUAUAAAAAACUCACAUGCUGUUACAAAUGAUCACGAUAUAAUGACAUCUAGAAAUAAACGCAAACUAGCUCGACAGUCAGAAGAUCUUUUUAAAUUAAAAACAGAAACAAUGUCAUGUUGUGAUAUAAAUAGUAGCGUUUUAAAAAAUAUAAAAAGUAGAAAAAAGUUAAAAACUAAUAAAAUAAUAAGUAAUA